rnacentral:ncRNA from 2 species
AACUUCAUAUUUGAAACAGGUGUCCGAAAGGACUUAAUAGGGAAGUCGGUGAAAGACCGACACGGUCCCGCCACUGUAAUGCAGAGUAAAUUCGAUGAUGUCACUGAGAUAAUUGGGAAGACCGAAGGCACGAUGAAGCAGAGUCAGGAGAACUGCCUGUUUUGGCUGCUGUUU